UACGGAGGGUGCAAGCGUUAUCCGGAUUCACUGGGUUAAAGGUGCGUAGGUGGCAGUUAAGUCAGUGGUGAAUCUCCGGCUCAACCGGAACUGCCAUUGAUACUAUCUGUCUGAAUAUCGUGGAGUAAGCGAAUAUGUCAUGUAGCGUGAAUGCUAGAUAUGACAUAGACACAUGCGAGCAGCUACUACCGAUAUGACACUGAGCACGAAGCGUGGGAUCAACAGAUAGAACCGG
rnacentral:rRNA from 1 species